rnacentral:rRNA from 1 species
AUACUUCUUCGGAGCAUUUUACGAGGUGCUGCAUGGUUGUCGUCAGCUCGUGCCGUGAGGUGUCGGGUUAAGUCCCAUAACGAGCGCAACCCCUACCUUUAGUUGCCAUCAGGUAAUGCUGGGGACUCUAAAGGAACUGCCUACGCAAGUAGUGAGGAAGGCGGGGAUGACGUCAAAUCAGCACGGCCCUUACGUCCAGGGCUACACACGUGCUACAAUGGCCGAUACAGAGGGCAGCUACCUGGUGACAGGAUGCAAAUCUCCAAAGUCGGUCUCAGUUCGGAUCGGAGUCUGCAACCCGACUCCGUGAAGUUGGAUUCGCUAGUAAUCGCGCAUCAGCCAUGGCGCGGUGAAUACGUUCCCGGGCCUU